rnacentral:rRNA from 1 species
AAAUGCUUGCAUUUCGACGGAGAAAGCGGAACGGAGGAGGAUGCUAGUUUGAGGCUAGACAUCAGAGCCUGUUAUCUAGUUUUGAAGGAAUGAAUCCUUCAAUGAAAGUUCGCUCGGUGACGAUAGCGGAGAGGACACACCCGUUCCCAUCCCGAACACGGAAGUUAAGCUCUCCAGCGCCGAUGGUAGUUGGGGCCAGGGCCCCUGCGAGAGUAGGACGUUGCCGGGC